UACGUAGGGUGCGAGCGUUAAUCGGAAUUACUGGGCGUAAAGCGUGCGCAGGCGGUUUUGUAAGCCAGGUGUGAAAUCCCCGGGCUCAACCUGGGAAUGGCAUUUGAUACUCGAGGGCUUGAGUACGGGAGAGGAGAGUGGAAUUCCCAGUGUAGAGGUGAAAUUCGUAGAUAUUGGGAAGAACACCGGUGGCGAAGGCGGCUCUCUGGACCGUAACUGACGCUGAGGCGCGAAAGCGUGGGGAGCAAACAGG
rnacentral:rRNA from 1 species